UUUUCCUUCAGCAGUCCAAAAUAUUAGUCAAUGCUCGAAAGAGUGAACUAGCUAACUGAAAUCAAUAAAAUAAUAUUGAUAACAUAAGGGAAAAUAAUGAUAUUACCUUAUUAUUAGUGUCGUCCAAAACUCGGUGCCAGAAGACUCGGUAAGGCCAGAGACACAAAUGUUAAUCGUCUUAAUCAGGCGUAAAGGGUUUGUAGGCGGCUUUUAAAUUUACUUAUAAAUAAAUAAUAAGUAAAAAAAUAAAAGCUAGAAUCAAAUAGAGGAUAUAUGAAAUAAUGCUUAGAGUAGGUCUGAUAUCUUUAGAUACUAAGUAGAAUAUUAAAGGCGAAAGCUUUUUUCCAUUAAUGAUUGACGCUCAGAAACGAAGGUGAGGAUAGGAAAUAGGAUUAGAUACCCAGAUACUCCUCUCUGUCAACGAUGAAUGGUAGUUAUUAGUAAAAUAUUAUUAAUGGCAAUGUUAACAUGAUAACCAUUCCGCCUUGUGAGUACAAUUGCAAAGUUGAAAACAAAAAAAUUAGUCGGUUUCGGAGCAAACGAAGUGAAGCAUGUUAUUUAAUUCGUUAAUUCCGCAAAA
rnacentral:rRNA from 1 species